GAUGAACGCUGGCGGCGUGCUUAACACAUGCAAGUCGAACGAUGAAGCCCAGCUUGCUGGGUGGAUUAGUGGCGAACGGGUGAGUAACACGUGAGUAACCUGCCCUUAACUCUGGGAUAAGCCUGGGAAACUGGGUCUAAUACCGGAUAGGAGCGUCCACCGCAUGGUGGGUGUUGGAAAGAUUUAUCGGUUUUGGAUGGACUCGCGGCCUAUCAGCUUGUUGGUGAGGUAAUGGCUCACCAAGGCGACGACGGGUAGCCGGCCUGAGAGGGUGACCGGCCACACUGGGACUGAGACACGGCCCAGACUCCUACGGGAGGCAGCAGUGGGGAAUAUUGCACAAUGGGCGAAAGCCUGAUGCAGCGACGCCGCGUGAGGGAUGACGGCCUUCGGGUCGUAAACCUCUUUCAGUAGGGAAGAAGCGAAAGUGACGGUACCUGCAGAAGAAGCACCGGCUAACUACGUG
rnacentral:rRNA from 1 species